rnacentral:rRNA from 1 species
AUUGAACGCUGGCGGCAGGCCUAACACAUGCAAGUCGAGCGAGCGGCGGACGGGUGAGUAAUGUAUGGGGACUGCCCGAUAGAGGGGGAUAACUACUGGAAACGGUCGCUAAUCCCGCAUACUAUCGGAUAACCCAUAUGGGAUUAGCUUGUAGGUGAGGGACUGGCUCACCUAGGCGACGAUCCCUAGCUGGUCUGAGAGGAUGAUCAGCCACACUGGGACUGGGACACGGCCCAGACUCCGUGGGAGGCAGCAGUGGGGAAGAUUGCACAAUGGGCGCCAGCCUGAUGCAGCCAUGCCGCGUGCAUGAAGAAGGCCCUAGGGUUGUAAAGUACUUGCAGUCGGGAGGCGUUACCGGCAGAAGAAGCACCGGCUAACUCCGUGCCAGCAGCCGCGGUAAUUC